UGGGGAAUUUUGGACAAUGGGCGCAAGCCUGAUCCAGCAAUGCCGCGUGCAGGAUGAAGGCCUUCGGGUUGUAAACUGCUUUUGUACGGAACGAAAAAGCUCUCUCUAAUACAGGGGGUGAAUGACGGUACCGUAAGAAUAAGCACCGGCUAACUACGUGCCAGCAGCCGCGGUAAUACGUAGGGUGCAAGCGUUAAUCGGAAUUACUGGGCGUAAAGCGUGCGCAGGCGGUUUUGUAAGACAGAGGUGAAAUCCCCGGGCUCAACCUGGGAACUGCCUUUGUGACUGCAAAGCUGGAGUGCGGCAGAGGGUGAUGGAAUUCCGCGUGUAGCAGUGAAAUGCGUAGAUAUGCGGAGGAACACCGAUGGCGAAGGCAAUCCCCUGGGCCUGCACCGACGCUCAUGCACGAAAGCGUGGGGAGCAAACA
rnacentral:rRNA from 1 species